UUAUGGCCAUAUCACAGUUGAAACACCAGUUCCCAUAUGUUCAUCAAAGUUAAGCAGUGUCAAACCAAGUCAGUACCUAGAUGAGUGACCAGCUUGGGAAUACCAAAUGCUGGAA